UACGUAGGGGGCAAGCGUUGUCCGGAAUCAUUGGGCGUAAAGAGGCGUGUAGGCGGCGCGGUAAGUCGGGUGUGAAAUCUCGGGGCUUAACUCCGAAACUGCAUUCGAUACUGCCGUGCUUGAGGACUGGAGAGGAGACUGGAAUUUACGGUGUAGCGGUGAAAUGCGUAGAUAUCAGGAGGAACACCGGUGGCGAAGGCGCUCAUCUGGCCCAAUACUGACGCUGAGGCGCGAAAGCUAGGGGAGCAAAACGGG
rnacentral:rRNA from 1 species